UCCAUCAGGAAUUUGCCUUUCACUGUGAUUUUUAUUGCACCUUUGGGGUCUGAGUGAGCUGUGCCCUCUCUCCAGGACCUCCCUGGGUGGGAUGAGAUCCAGGGAAAGCUGGAAACUUGGCAAACUCCAGUGGCAGAAAGUGAACCUGCUGUUGCUUUUUAAAGUCUGAGAGCAAACACAUCCCAGGAACUGCCAGUCCAUGGAAAACUGAGAUAAGGGAGUCUCUGGGUGCCUCUCCUGGUUUCCCAUAUUUAUUUGAUAACUGGUGAGUGCAGCAGGCACUGGAGGAUAAAAAUAAACGAGGGAGCUGCUCCAUGGGACCUGGGACAGGCUGGACUGGAGGGGAAUGCUCCUUGGUGCCACCUCAGGAAUCCACAUUCCUGGUUUUUAACGUGGAUUUGCAGCAGGAUCUUAUCCCAGGGCAGUGUGGGUGUGCCCCAGCACCCUGCUCUUACUGGGGUUACUGGUCCAGCUCUUACUGGGGUUGCUGGUCCAGCACUCCUUCAGGGAUCCUGUCCUGGCAUUGCUGGGAUCCCUCUUUCCCUGGCAUCCUUUGGAGCAGCUCAUGGAGCCCACCCGGCCUCAGCACCAUCCUGGCACUGGGAAAUUGGCGCCCAGUGAACCUGCACCAAGGCCACUCCCAGCCAAAAAGAACCCGAAAAAGGCAUGGAUUGCUCAGAGCUGGCAGGAAUGCUGAACCUUGCACAAGGAGCUGCUUCCCAGCCCAGAGCUGGGCUCUCCCUGGGUGGGGAGCAGGAUGGGGCCAUGGGCAAAGGCAACUUCGAAAUCCCUUGUCCCUGCAAAGCUCUGCUCCGUGGAAUGGUGAGCUCCCAGAUGUUGGUGGCAAGGAAAACUGGGUUUAUUAAUUAAAAAAUAAGAAAUAAAGCAGGUUUCCUUAUGGA